GCAGCGGGAGGCAACGGGGCCUCAGGCGGCACCGCCCCCGGGCCGGGCCGGGGGCACCGGGCGGGGACAGGGCUCGGUGCCCGCAGGAACGCGGCUGUUUGCGGGUCACGGGGGCCUGGGGCCGGUUACCGUGUGCGCAGAGAGGGGUGUCAGACCCAGAGCCAUUGGCAGCGCCUCAGAGCCCCCCGGGCUCAGCUGCUCCCUGCCAGCGCCAGCCCGAGCCACGGCUCCGCCGGGUCCGGGAUCACACAGCCCUCCUGCUGCUGGUGGCACCAAAUAGUUCUGGGGUCACACAACGGGACAGCAUGCCUGCUGCUGGUGGCACCAAAUAGAUUUGGGAUCACACAGCAGGACAGCAUGCCUGCUGCUGGUGGCACCAAAUAGUUCUGGGGUCACACAACGGGCCAGCCCACCUGCUGCUGGUGGCAUCACAUAAGAGGGGUCUCGGACGGUACACAGUGCGUGUCCUGUUUCUGAACUAUCUUCACAAUUAACAGAAUGGAAAAAUCCCUUUCUGCAGAUCAAACCAGUCCACUGACAUUAAUUUUUGCCUUCAAUCUGCUCAGCCAACAAAAGGAUACCGAAUCCUGUUAUUUCCUGUUUACUGUCCUGCUGGCACCUUCAAGCUUGCUGUCCCUCCUGAGCUGUGGAAGUUUCAGCAGACAACAGAAGGUGGUUCAACCAGAUUUACCCAGAGCAUCUCUCCGACCAGAACGGCUCUAGGAAAUGGAGGUGGCAGUUUCACGUUUCAAAAUGAAACCAAAAAAAGUCACCUUACCAUGUCUUACGAAAAAAGUUGUAAGUAGCUACUAUCAGAGUUCCUGAAGAUGAAUAAAGAUCCUCCCUUUUCUUAUUUCCUUAAAUACUUAGAGUAAUUCAAUUUAGUAGUUACUUCUAAUUUAUAUUAAGUGAAAACUAAACUUAACACAGAUUGAUCCUCUACAUUCUGGUUGAUGUGCUGCAAACUAUUACAGACAACCUACUAACAGCCCUCUUCUACCCCCAUUUCACCCAGGCAUAGCAAUGGUCUCAAUAUUAACAUGUAAACAACCCUGCCACUUAACCACUAUCAUCCACACUCUUCCAGAAAAACAAAUUUUAUCAGGCAAAUUCAGAUGCAGAUUGCAUUGGCUCAAGCCAGUUCUCCUUAUCAUU